UACGUAGGAUGCAAGCGUUGUCCGGAAUUACUGGGCGUAAAGGGCGAGCAGGUGGCACUACAAGUCUGAUGUAAAAUCUCCCGGCUUAACUGGGAGGGGCCAUUGGAAACUGUAGAGCUGGAGUGCAGGAGAGGCUAACGGAAUUCCCGGUGUAGUGGUGAAAUGCGUAGAUAUCCGGAGGAAUACCAAAGGCGAAGGCAGUGUCCUGGCUGGCAUCUGACGCUGGAGGCGCGAAAGCUAGGGGAGCGAACAGG
rnacentral:rRNA from 1 species